rnacentral:lncRNA from 1 species
UGGAGAACAGAGCAAAGGAAAAGCAGAAACAACUCUACUAACACUGAGGCUGGAGGAAAAUGGAGAGGGGAGGAGGAGAGCACUGAAUGCUAAGAGCAGAGGUGGCUUGACAGCCUAUGGAGCCUGUUUUGCCCACAGUGAGAAUGGAGUAGAAAUUUGUUCCAAACACUCAAGAUCUGAUAACUGAUUCCCAUUUAGAUGUCAUUGAGACCUCUGGGAAGUACAGAAUAAUCAGAGCACAGCAGGCACCAGUCAUGAAUCCUCCAUUCUUCACAGCCAGCCUCUGACAUGCUCUGGUGGACAGGGAGAGGACACUGAGUGCAACGGCACAUCACCAAGUCAUCCCUUCUCUGAAAGGGGCCAUGCUUUCAGAGGCUGAAAAAUCAUCCCUGAUGCACCUUGUCUCUGGUAUCUAAAGGAUACAUAGACAUGUCCAGCACAAUCUAAGAACCACAUAUACUGAGUAGCAGAGGAUUCAAUAAAUCUUCCUAUUCUGUGUCCAGUUGCCUCUUAUUAAGGCUCCAAUGGGCAUAUGUGCCGGGAAGCUCAUGAAUAAGCAAAGUCCUCCAAAAAUGGUUUUACCAUGUCUGAGCAGAAGAAAAGAAACGCCUCCUUGACCUGAUCUGACACCCCUGCCGAUGCAGCAAGCAGUUGUCUUCUCUGCUGCCAGGACACACUGCUGACUCUAAUCUACUAAGACUCCAGUAUUGACCAGACUUCUGGAGCCAUUCUCAUUUUGAUGUUUAAUAUUCAGUUUCUUUUUCCUGCACCAGCUGGAUGAUUUGGAAAAGCCUGCAGAGCUGUCAUCUCUCCUGUAUUUUAUUUCAAUGCAGAACAAUUCACUCCUGAGUCUUUCAACCAAAUAUGCCAAGCAGCAUACAAAAGCCAAAUGAAACUCAUGUUUCUAAUAGUUAUCACUGUAUCCUGGGACAUUGAGAGAUAACACUAGAAAAUCAUUCAUGAGCAACAGAGAGAAUAAAACAUAUUGCUACUGAUGGUAGAAUAGACAAAGAGAUAAUUGUAGCAUGGGAUGUACGUACAUUGUACAUGGUUUGUACUUUAAAUCUCAAAAUCUGAAGAAAACAAACAAAGGUUAUUGCUCCACCACCUUUGCUUAUUAUUGUAAUUGUCUAUAUUGUAUUCCCUCUAUCUACCCUUUUGAAUACCUUCAUGACAAUUUGACAGGUGCUCUUGGCACAUCUUUAAUGACAUAGAAAUACAUGCAAAUUCACAGGGGUGUAGCCAUAUAGUGUUUCAAUGAUGCAGAACUGGAAGAACUGACCUCCAAAGAAAGAUGAAGUUUUCAGGAGCCACUGCAGCAGCACUCCACCUGUGAUCUCCGUCACCAGAGACUGGUUUGUCCACAAAGUACCACUGCUGCAGGAUGAAAGCAAGAAAAAUCUCUGCAUUUGUGCAAAAGCUGUGUUUGUGGAAAAAGAAAGGAAAGGGAAAAGGAAAGAGGAAAAAGGUUAGCUCCAAUGACAAGCAGGGAAGCAGAUUCUGCUUUCCCUUAGUACGUUGUGGUAGCCUGAUACUAACCUUCACAGGUAGGAGACAAGACAGGGCUAAAGACCUGGAGGAGAAAGUUAGUACAGGUAAUUCAUGCCUCUUGGUAGCAGUUUUCUUGCAAUGCUUUGACUAGAGUUCACCACCAAAACCUCUAUUUUUAGUUACACAUUCUGCAGUCAAUUUCUUUGUACAAUAACUGAAAAUAAAGAAAUUGCAUGGACACCACAGGAAAAUGAAGACACAAAGGCAAACAAAGAAUUAUCUGCCUGAGGGAAGGAGAAGUAUUCUAAAGUUCAAAAUGUGUUACAACGUUAAUCAUCUGAUCAAUACCAGUAAUCUCAGUGCAGAAAAAUACAUGGGAUUUGGUUUUUAAGUAGGUACAUGCAUUUUGGGGAAGUUCAUCUUCCCUAUAUUUUGUCUGUGAAGGAUGAGUUCAUCCUCCUAUACACCAGUAAGUACCAAAAUGAUAGUGAGACUUUCUACAUGAGAAAAAAGAAUUUCCCAUAGGCAGAAAGGAUGAGGAAUUCCAAACUUUUUAUUAUACCACCCAUUUCAGAAGUGCAUACCAAAGUAAAAACAUAGCAAAAAAAUGCGUAUGAGUUUGUGGUAACACACUAUUUGUACAGCAGCCCUCAGGCACAGCUGUAACUCAUGUAGAUUCCUAAGGACUUUUGAUUUAAAUUCUGUGUUUUUCUAAAAGUGCUCUGUUGAGACAACAAAAUGACUGUAAGCCAAAACCCACACUUUCGUUUCUAUCUACCCUCAGCUGCUAUUAUGCUGCAUUUAGAAAUACACAGGUAGGACAAUUACAGUACUUUGUUGCUAUAUUACUCUGAAAUUAAAUUUGAAAAUGAUGUUUCUUUAAAACUACAGAAAGACAUAAAUAUACCUUAACUUUUUUCUUUUUCUUUUUUUUUUUUUUUCCCAAGUUACACCUAAUAAACAUUGGCAGCAUGAAAACAACAGCUUUGAGCAAUUAGGGGACCCAGAUACAAGGGUUAAAUUUUCUUAAAUAAAACACUGAAUUAUCUCUUUUUAAGACAUAAGAAGAACCAUGUUCUUCAUAUUGUCUUAAUGUGCAAAUAAACUGCAUUUUCUGCAGUCAUGGUACUGAACACUGGUGAAGUUAGUUUAAUAAUGCCCAUGGUUUGUAGCUAAGAAAAAUGUUGUAGGCGAUGUUACAAACACAUAUAUACUUAUAGUAACACGUAAAAUGCAAUUGCUGUCAUGGCCCAGCAUGUUGGCUAAUAAAAGCAGUUUGAUUCCUGGGUGUUCAAAAUGAAUUUAUCUUUUGGAUUUGGAGUUCUACCUGAUCACUUUUUAAAAAUGGUCUAAAAAUUUAAAACAUAUUCUUGGUAUAAUUUUAGAGGGCAAGGCUAAACAUACCAAUAAAAGUAUCUUUGUUAAGGAACUGUCAGUCCAUUUUUCUUCUUGCUAAGCUAUGGACUACACAAUAUCCCAUUUUAAGAUAAACUGUUAUGCCCAUUUCAUUUAAUACUAAGGGGAAGAUAAGCAUUUAAUGUUUAAGCAGUAAUUGAGACAAACAAGUAGAAGUGUUGAAAGACAGCCCACCCAGGGAACAAGAAUUCAUUUUGCGUUUCAUCUUGUGCCUCGAACAAGCACCACUGCCUCUUGCUCCUACCACUUUGGGGACCAGAGAGCAGUGUUCUGUGUGGCUGCUUCAGGGAUUUAUGUUCCUC